GUGGUAAUGCCGGAUGCUCCAGUUGACCGCAUGGUCCUCUGGGAAAGCUUUUGCGGUAUGGGAUGGGGUCGCGUCCUAUCAGCUUGAUGGCGGGGUAACGGCCCACCAUGGCUUCGACGGGUAGCCGGCCUGAGAGGGCGACCGGCCACAUUGGGACUGAGAUACGGCCCAGACUCCUACGGGAGGCAGCAGUGGGGAAUAUUGCACAAUGGGCGCAAGCCUGAUGCAGCGACGCCGCGUGCGGGAUGACGGCCUUCGGGUUGUAAACCGCUUUUGACUGGGAGCAAGCCCUUCGGGGUGAGUGUACCUUUCGAAUAAGCACCGGCUAACUACGUGCCAGCAGCCGCGGUAAUACGUAGGGUGCAAGCGUUAUCCGGAAUUAUUGGGCGUAAAGGGCUCGUAGGCGGUUCGUCGCGUCCGGUGUGAAAGUCCAUCGCUUAACGGUGGAUCCGCGCCGGGUACGGGCGGGCUUGAGUGCGGUAGGGGAGACUGGAAUUCCCGGUGUAACGGUGGAAUGUGUAGAUAUCGGGAAAAGAAC
rnacentral:rRNA from 1 species